rnacentral:misc_RNA from 1 species
GGUUUUCCUCGUAGGGCUUGUAGCUCAGUCGGUUAGAGCGCGCGCUUGAUAAGCGUGAGGUCGGAGGUUCAAGUCCUCCCAGGCCCACCAGUUACACUAUGCAGCAAAUUGCUCUGAUCACUGAAAGUUGCUCUGAGUGAGAAUGUUAAAAUCUAGUGAAAUGUUCCCAAUUCUUUAUUGAAUAAUCCCUUAAAGAAAAUUUAUGCUUAAAUAAAUUCUUCUAAGAGCAUUCAGAGCCUCCAUAGGAACUCAAAGCCUUCCAUAGAAACGAAGUUUUCGCGAGAAUUUUUUCACUCCUCUUCAGUAAGGGGAAAACAGGAAAAUAACGAGGGAAAUAAAAGGCCAAUAUUGUAUUUCUUAAUCAAUUCAAUUAAUCAAUAUUGUCUCUCUCUUUGUAAAAAGCUUAAUGGUAAAAGUUUAAAAGAGCUUCUGUUUUAAAAGUAUGACGUUUUU